UGAAGAAGUCCAUCACGAAUCUGCUGUGCCACCUCUUUUACAGCACCAGGUCCAUGGGGGAUGAAGACAGCGGAUGAUUUGCUGGAAGCGCCAAUUUCUUUCAUGGUGUCAAAGUACUGGGUUACGAGGACCAUGUCCAUAACAUCCUUUGCCGUAGUUCCAGGCACAUUGACUGAAAAUCCUAGCACACUGUCUCUCAGACCAUCCACAAUUGCUUGACGUUGUCGUGCAAUACCUAAUCCUGAGAGAUACUUAGACUCGGCCUCUCCUUCAGCCCUCUUAAUUUGCAAGAUCUUCUCGGCCUCUGCCUUCUCAUUAGCAGCCACCCUCAGCCGAGCAGCAGCAUUGAUUUCAUUCAUAGCUCUCUUCACAUGCUCAUCUGGUACUAUAUCAACGAUGAGUGUCUGAACAAUUUCAUAUCCAUAAGCUGACAUAGCUUUCUCAAGUUCCUCCUCAACAGCCUUGGCAAUUUCAUUUUUUUGCUCAAACACAUCAUCAAGAAUGAGUUUAGGAACACUAGCUCUUAUGACAUCAAAAACAUAUGCCUGAAUCUGACCCUUAGUGUUACUUAGCUUGUAGAAAGCUUCAUUUGCUUUGUCGGCAAUGGCACGAUACUGAAUUGAUGCGACAACAUUGACAAAUACGUUAUCCUUCGUCUUGGUUUCACAGCGCACAUCUAGUUGUUGCACCCUGAGGGAGAGAUGACCAGCCAACUGGCUUCCGAGGAACCAAGGCACACAGUGGCACCCUGGCUCAAGCACAUCCUGAUACUUGCCAAACUGCUCCUUAAUUGCAACAGUGGAUUGAUCAACUUGAACACAACAGAACAAAUUGCCCAUAUUGAAUUAUGAAACAAAAUCAAGAACGGCAGAAUAAUAAGAAUUCAC
rnacentral:misc_RNA from 1 species